rnacentral:lncRNA from 1 species
ACGAUUUUGCACCUACAAAACAACUAGCACCUUAGGUUAAGGCCAAAAGCCUCACGCGCCCACGAUGAAUGAGGGGGGGCUUUGGCCGAAGAACCUCCGAUGCCAAAGUUAGAAAUUUAGAGAGAAAUAGUGUUUAGAGUGUUUUGGAAUUUUUGCAAGAGGUUUGGCCUGAGUGUUUGGUAAAAAUGGGUGACUAUUUAUAGGACCAAAUUGGUCCACAUCUUCAAGAAAUGGCCGGCCCUUUUCAUGUGCUUUGGGAUGAAUUUUGUGGUUUUAUUAACCACUUUAUUGGCUAAUAAAAUAUAAUAGAAAUAAAUGGGAAGUUACCCAAUUGAAUGACUAGCAUUAUUUGGCUAAUAUAGUGGAAGAAAUUUGAAAAGGUGUGGAGCAAAGAGAGGGAAUGUGGCCGGUCU